CAGCCGUAAACUAUGCGCGUUAGGUGUAUCGGUGACCACGAGUUACCGAGGUGCCGAAGGGAAACCGUGAAACGUGCCGCCUGGGAAGUACGGUCGCAAGGCUGAAACUUAAAGGAGUUGGCGGGGGAGCACCACAACGGGUGGAGCCUGCGGUUUAAUUGGACUCAACGCCGGGAAGCUCACCGGAUAAGACAGCGGAAUGAUUGCCGGGCUGAAGACUCUGCAUGACUAGCUGAGAGGAGGUGCAUGGCGUAGACGUCU
rnacentral:rRNA from 1 species